GACGAACGCUGGCGGCGUGCCUAAUACAUGCAAGUUGAGCGAUGAAGAUUGGUGCUUGCACCAAUUUGAAGAGCAGCGAACGGGUGAGUAACGCGUGGGGAAUCUGCCUUUGAGCGGGGGACAACAUGUGGAAACGAAUGCUAAUACCGCAUAACAACUUUAAACAUAAGUUUUAAGUUUGAAAGAUGCAAUUGCAUCACUCAAAGAUGAUCCCGCGUUGUAUUAGCUAGUUGGUGAGGUAAAGGCUCACCAAGGCGAUGAUACAUAGCCCACCUGAGAGGAUGGUCUGCCACAUUGGGACUGAGACACGGCCCAAACGCCUACGGGAGGCAGCAGUAGGGAAUCUUCGGCAAUGGACGAAAGACUGACCGAGCAACGCCGCGUGAGUGAAGAAGGUUUUCGGAUCGUAAAACUCUGUUGGUAGAGAAGAACGUUGGUGAGAGUGGAAAGCUCAUCAAGUGACGGUAACUACCCAGAAAGGGACGGCUAACUACGUG
rnacentral:rRNA from 1 species